rnacentral:lncRNA from 1 species
UAAGAUUCUUACCCUAUAAAGUAUCUCUCUCAAAUCUGACUGAGUUUGUAUCCAUGGUCGAAUACUUCAGGCUUUUCUAUAGAAUUCGAAAUCAGGUCGGAUUGGUAUUUUUGUACUAAGACUAUUCGAAAUGUGUUGUUAAGACGUUACCAAAUUAUUCAAAAUCAGGAUGUAUGUGCUUCGGCCUAGAACCUCUUAGUUAUUAAAAAAAAAAAAAAGACGUUAUCAAAUUUGAGAUCAUCACACUCUUUAAUUCUUGGUUUACAUGAAUGACUUUGAAACAGACGAUAAGAAAGGUGUGUACAAAAAUGGAAACAACUGAGAAGGUCUUCUCCAUCAUGAAGCGUUGAUGAUCAGGAAUCUAGAUAUUGACAUCGUAAGGUAACUUUGUUUUGUUGCGUUGUUUCUCACUUUCCCUC